UACGAAGGGGGCUAGCGUUGCUCGGAAUUACUGGGCGUAAAGGGCGCGUAGGCGGAUAGUUUAGUCAGAGGUGAAAGCCCAGGGCUCAACCUUGGAACUGCCUUUGAUACUGGCUAUCUUGAGUUCGGGAGAGGUGAGCGGAAUGCCGAGUGUAGAGGUGAAAUUCGUAUAUAUUCGGCGGAACACCGGUGGCGAAGGCGGCUCACUGGCCCGAUACUGACGCUGAGGAGCGAAAGCGUGGGGAGCGAACAGG
rnacentral:rRNA from 1 species